rnacentral:rRNA from 1 species
CCUACGGGUGACAGCAGUGAGGAAUAUUGGUCAAUGGGCGCGAGCCUGAACCAGCCAAGUAGCGUGAAGGAUGACUGCCCUAUGGGUUGUAAACUUCUUUUAUAUGGGAAUAAAGUGCAGUAUGUAUACUGCUUUGCAUGUACCUUAUGAAUAAGGAUCGGCUAACUCCGUGCCAGCAGCCGCGGUAAGACGGAGGAUCCGAGCGUUAUACGGAUUUAUUGGGUUGAAAGGGAGCGUAGGCGGGUUGUUAAGUCAGUUGUGAAAGUUUGCGGCUCAACCGUAAAAGUGCAGUUGCAACUGGCGUUCUUGAGUGGGCGAGAAGGAUGCGGAAUGCGUGGUGUAGCGGUGAAAUGCAUAGAUAUCACGCAGAACUCCGAUGGCGAAGGCAGCAUACCGGCGCCCAACUGACGCUGAAGCACGAAAGCGUGGGUAUCGAACAGGAUUAGAUACCCUUGUAGUC